AUACGUAGGUGACAAGCGUUAUCCGGAUGUACUGGGCGUAAAGGGCGUGUAGGCGGUCUUGCAAGUCAGAAGUGAAAUUCCUGAGCUCAACUCGGGCGCUGCUUCUGAAACUGCAGGACUUGAGUGCUGGAGGGGAUAGCGGAAUUCCUAGUGGAGCGGUAAAAUGCGCAGAUAUUAGGAAGAACACCGGUGGCGAAGGCGGCUAUCUGGACAGUAACUGACGCUGAGGCGCGAAAGCGUGGGGAGCAAACAGGAUUAGAUACCCCGGUAGUCCACGCCGUAAACGAUGAAUACUAGGUGUAGGGGGUAUCGACUCCCUCUGUGCCGCAGUUAACACAAUAAGUAUUCCGCCUGGGGAGUACGGCCGCAAGGUUGAAACUCAAAUGAAUUGACGGGG
rnacentral:rRNA from 1 species